rnacentral:rRNA from 1 species
UUGAAUAAGUUGCAGUUGGUUUAUUUGUUUGUAAUUGUUAAAUUAAAAACAUUUUUAAACAUAGUAAUGGCGAUUGAAAUGUGUAUAAAUUAAAAAAGUACUGUGAAGGAAUUAAAUUUAAUUAUAUUAAAGCAGUUAUUUGAAAUGUACCUUUUGUAUCAUGGUUGAGCAAGAUUUAUUAAUUAAAUUAUUUUUCUAGAAAUCUAAUGAGCUAUUUUGAUUUAUCUAUAGGGUAAAUUUUGGUAAAUGUGGCAAAAUUUUCAGAAAAAGUUAAAAUAGAAAUUAUAUUUUAUUCGUAUUAGGUGAUAGCUAGUUUUGUUAUAAAUAUAUAUAAGUAUAUAAUUAUAUAUUAAUUAAUUAAAUACAUAUGUAUACUAUUUAAUUAAUUAUAAUAUAAAUUAGAAAUAAUAAAGGCUAAUCUUGAUUAUAGUAAAAAGGAUUAUUGUGUUUGUUUUAUGUAAAAUAUAGGCUUGAAGUUAGUUACUAUAUUUAGUUUGUUAUAAAAUAUUAUAGUAUUUAUAUUAAAUUAAUUUAUUAGUGUAUUUUAUUAUUAUAAGAAUGUAUAAUUGAAUUAUUAUUAAUUAUAUUAUUUAUGCUUAAAUGAGUAUUUAUAUAUAAUAUUAUUUAAAUAUGAUGAAUAUUUAAAUAAGUUUUUAUUUUGUUGCAAUUAAAUAUAAGUAAGGAAUUCAGCAAAGUUAUUAUUUCGCCUGUUUAGCAAAAACAUGUCUUUUUGAUUUUAAGAAUAUAGAAAGUCUGACCUGCCCGGUGAUUUUAAUUAAACGGCCGCGGUAUUUUGACCGUGCGAAGGUAGCAUAAUCAAUUGUCUUAUAAUUGAAGACUGGAAUGAAUGGUUAAACGAAAUUGAGACUGUCUCAUUUUAUAUUAAUUAAAAAUUGGCUUUUAAAUGAAGAGAUUUAAAUUUAAUUAAUAGACAAGAAGACCCUAUUGAGCUUAAAAUAAUUUUAUGAAUGAUAAUUUAUUGUUGGAGAUUUAAGUUUUUAAUAUAUUUUUGGUUGGGGCGACUAAGGAACAAGUGAAGCUUCCUUUAUUUAUUAGAUUAAUAGGUUUUGAUCCAGUAUUAACUGAUUAAUAAAAAUAGUUACCAUAGGGAUAACAGCAUAAUCUUCUUGGAGAGUUCUUAUCAAAAAGAAGGGUUGUGACCUCGAUGUUGGAUUAAAAUAUCCUAAAGGUGUAGAAGCUUUUAAGGGUUAGUCUGUUCGACUAUUAAAAUUUUACAUGAUCUGAGUUCAGACCGGCGUGAGCCAGGUCAGUUUCUAUCUUUAAUUAAUGAUAAUUAAUUUUAGUACGAAAGGACCAAAUUAAUAGAAUAAUUGUCUUUAUUUUGAAUUUAUAUAAUUUAUAUUUUAAUUUUAUUAUAUUUAAAUUAUUUAUUAGUAUAUU